CUUAUCAUUUUCCCCUGUAUGCUUUUGGAGCACAUUCAAUACUCUUUUCUUCUUCUCUCUUACACAAUUUAUUUUCUACCUUUGUAUAAAGAUUUGGCCCUCUUAAACACACUGGGAAUUGAAAAACUUCAAAUAAAAUAAAAUAAAAUAUAAAAUGCCAAAGUAAUCCUUUCCAUCCUGUAUAACCACAACUAAACUUCUAUGCAGAAAGAUGUCUAUCUCUUGGAAUUCAAUAAAUGUGGGCAAUAACAACUAUAGCUCAAUUUCAUGUUAACCUUUUCCUCUCUUUUCAUCAGAUGUGGAAAUGAACAAAGUAAAUAUUAUGGAUGUUGGCUCAUUUUUAAAAAGAUUUACUUAUUUAUUUGAAAGAAAGAGCAACACAAGCAGGGGAGGGACAGAAGGAGAUGGAGAAGGGGAGAAGAAGACUCCCCACUGACAGCAGAGCCUGACAUGGGGCUCAACCUCAUAACCCUGUGAUAAUGACCUGAAUGUUGGCUCAUUUUUUACAAUAAUGAUCAUACUUCUCCUAGCUAAUGUUCAACACUUGCUAUGUGCCAAAACUCUUCUAAAUGCUUUAAGUCUAUGAUCUCAUGCAAAUGGCACAACUAUCUUAUGAGCCAAGUACUACUUUUUAUACCCUUUUUGCAGAUGAGAAAACUUUAUACCCUAGGAUCUCCUAUAGAAAUCCUAUCUCAUUCUAAUCCCCCCUCGGGGACCCUGAUGCAGGACUCAAUCCCAGUACCCCGGGAUUACAACCUGAGCCAAAGGAAGACACUCAACCAUGGAGCCACCCAGAUAUCCCAUGAUCUUCUCUCAUAUAAUCUUUGAAGGAAAAUCUUCCUUUAAAAAUUCUCUGAUUAGUAGCAUACCAUGGUAUUUCUAUCAUCAUCUGAUGAUAGAAAGAAUGAUUUAAAAUGAGUUAUAGUGCUAAAAUAGCAACUUUUAAUAAAAGCUAACUGUACCUUUUACAUGCAUGAUCUUUCAUCAUAAGAACAAUGGUAUCACUAUUGUUAGUCCCCUUAUAUGAUUGGAGAUACAGAAGCUAGAGGAGGUUAUAUAACUUGCCCACUGUUGGAUUCAGGCCUGUUCCAAAUAUCUGUGGGGCUAGGGCAAGAACACAAAUAAGACCUGUCAACUUCUCUGCACAACAUAAAGUCCGUCCAUGAUUAGAAGGGGCUAAGCAUGCAACAUGUAGAAAAACCCAGGCCACCUGCCCAAGCUUAAUCCAUACUCUACCACACUACAGAUAGCUGCCCCUUGACUACUCCGCAGGCCUAAAAUUGCAUGUACCAGCAGUACCAUUCACCUUCAGGAGGAUACACUUGGAAAAGGUCCCUGCAGGCCCUGGAAAGGACUUGCUCAGGGCAAUUUGGCAGGGAAUUCUAAUCCUGAUUACUUAGAGCAUGAUCUACAAGGGAAAAUGUGGGUUCCAGGUGGAUAUAUACCUGAGACCUAUGGACUUCUUGCCCCAUUGAGAGAAAUGCAAUUAAGAAGAACCAGGGUGUAGAUUGGUAGAGUACAGGCCCCAGUAGCCCAACACUGAGAAUGGAAUUUACUCCAUAGCUAAGAAUGAGGCAGAAUUUGACUCCAGAUCCCUAGGAGCUCUAACCCUUCAAUGCCACCAUUCUACUGAAGCUGAACCUCUUUUGGUUUAUGAUUUACUUCAGUACAAAAAUGAAUCACAGAGCCAUCUAUUGCUUUUCAUGCUCUAGAUGAGAAUAUCUAUAUUUCUUGGAAGAUUACAUGGGCAAAGAAAGUUGGUCUUUUAAAAGUUCUAAAGAGUAGAUGAUCAAUAGACAUUUAUUAGUAGAAUUCUUUCCAUAUUUGGAAUGCUUCUCUUAAGAGUUCAAGGCCCAAGCAAAUGAUUAACAAGAGUAUACAUGCCUACCCACCUGGAGGCAAAGAAAAGAGAAGGCAGGAAGCAGAUGUUCAAGGCCUUUACCUUAAGGUAAAUAUAAAUGGUAGGAAUAGCUAUGGAGAACCAGCACCUAGCAUGGUACUUGGGACAUACUAGGUACACAAUGUACACAAUUUCAUAAAAUUAUGCAGGAGGAAUUUGUGAGUAUUGGACUCUCCUCUUCCUGGGAUCAGAAUUUAUCUGUUGUAAGAUGGACUUGAUAUAUUUACAAUGUAACCAAUACCUACCUGGUUACUUUCUGUUCCACAGAACAGAAAUUCCACAUUUCUAUAUCUCACAAAAGGCUUGAGUUGAGGUAAAGCCUCAGUAUUCCCUAGAACUUUCAGAUGCAAAAUCUUCUACCUUUAAAUCCCUACCUUUCAGAUGCAAAUUAUUCAGCUAAAGAGUAGCUACCUCCUAUCAUUACUAUAUGAGAUACUAUCACAAGUUCCUUUCACCCCACUUCCACCAACAACCAUAUAAUUAGCAACUUAGAUACAGAUCCAGGCAUCUGAAGAGCUACUCCUUACCUCUCUAAAAUGCCAAAUUUGUAACAUUAUGGGAAGAAAUCUGGUUAUAUGCUCAUAAUUUCUGUGAAAAAUCAUGUUCAAUGGUGUGUGGUGUGGUAUGGUAUGGGCUGUGUGUGUGUGUGUGUGUGUGUGUGUGUAGAAGGAGAAAGAAAGAGAGAAACAUACCAGUGGAUGAAAUUUAAUUAAGUACCACUGAUUUACUUCCAAAACUAAAUAGAUAAAUAAAGUUUUAUGUGGGGGAAGGAUAAUGAUACAUACACAUGUAUAACCAUUGAAAGAUAAUGUAGUUACAGAUAUGUAAACAUAAAAGAUAACAGAAGCCAAUUUAUUGCCAGAUAUUCAUAACAGAAAACACCACUGAUAUAAAAAGAAAAUAAAAA
rnacentral:lncRNA from 1 species